rnacentral:rRNA from 1 species
UACGUAGGGCGCAAGCGUUUAUCCGGAAUUAUUGGGCGUAAAGAGCUCGUAGGCGGUUUGUCGCGUCUGCCGUGAAAGUCCGGGGCUCAACUCCGGAUCUGCGGUGGGUACGGGGCAGACUAGAGUGAUGUAGGGGAGACUGGAAUUCCUGGUGUAGCGGUGAAAUGCGCAGAUAUCAGGAGGAACACCGAUGGCGAAGGCAGGUCUCUGGGCAUUAACUGACGCUGAGGAGCGAAAAGCAUGGGGGAGCGAACAGG